rnacentral:rRNA from 1 species
AGAGUUUGAUCCUGGCUCAGGACGAACGCUGGCGGCGUGCCUAAUACAUGCAAGUCGAACGCUUCUUUUUCCACCGGAGCUUGCUCCACCGGAAAAAGAGGAGUGGCGAACGGGUGAGUAACACGUGGGUAACCUGCCCAUCAGAAGGGGAUAACACUUGGAAACAGGUGCUAAUACCGUAUAACAAUCGAAACCGCAUGGUUUUGAUUUGAAAGGCGCUUUCGGGUGUCGCUGAUGGAUGGACCCGCGGUGCAUUAGCUAGUUGGUGAGGUAACGGCUCACCAAGGCCACGAUGCAUAGCCGACCUGAGAGGGUGAUCGGCCACAUUGGGACUGAGACACGGCCCAAACUCCUACGGGAGGCAGCAGUAGGGAAUCUUCGGCAAUGGACGAAAGUCUGACCGAGCAACGCCGCGUGAGUGAAGAAGGUUUUCGGAUCGUAAAACUCUGUUGUUAGAGAAGAACAAGGAUGAGAGUAACUGUUCAUCCCUUGACGGUAUCUAACCAGAAAGCCACGGCUAACUACGUGCCAGCAGCCGCGGUAAUACGUAGGUGGCAAGCGUUGUCCGGAUUUAUUGGGCGUAAAGCGAGCGCAGGCGGUUUCUUAAGUCUGAUGUGAAAGCCCCCGGCUCAACCGGGGAGGGUCAUUGGAAACUGGGAGACUUGAGUGCAGAAGAGGAGAGUGGAAUUCCAUGUGUAGCGGUGAAAUGCGUAGAUAUAUGGAGGAACACCAGUGGCGAAGGCGGCUCUCUGGUCUGUAACUGACGCUGAGGCUCGAAAGCGUGGGGAGCAAACAGGAUUAGAUACCCUGGUAGUCCACGCCGUAAACGAUGAGUGCUAAGUGUUGGAGGGUUUCCGCCCUUCAGUGCUGCAGCUAACGCAUUAAGCACUC